rnacentral:rRNA from 1 species
AGCAGCCGCGGUAAUUCCAGCUCCAAUAGCGUAUAUUAAAAGUUGUUGCAGUUAAAAAGCUCGUAGUUGAAUUUCGGGAUCAGUAUGUUGGUCGUGCUUCGGUACGUACUGUCAUUACUGGUUUCUACCUUCUGAAGAACCUUGAUGUCAUUAAUUUGGUGUCUUGGGGAAUCAGGACUGUUACUUUGAAAAAAAUUAGAGUGUUUAAAGCAAGCAUACGCUUGAAUACAUUAGCAUGGAAUAAUGAAAUAGGACGUUUGAUUCUAUUUUGUUGGUUUCUAGGAUCGACGUAAUGAUUAAUAGGGAUAGUUGGGGGCAUUAGUAUUCAAUUGUCAGAGGUGAAAUUCUUGGAUUUAUUGAAGACUAACUACUGCGAAAGCAUUUGCCAAGGAUGUUUUCAUUAAUCAAGAACGAAAGUUAGGGGAUCGAAGACGAUCAGAUACCGUCGUAGUCUUAACCAUAAACUAUGCCGACUAGGGAUCGGAUGAUGUUAUUUUUAUGACUCAUUCGGCGCCUUAAC